AAUUGCAUUGCCCUUACGAAAAUCAAUUGGUCAUGAGGUUAUUUACCUUAAGCUAACGUGUUUACUUGCAAUAUGUUAUAUACCAUAGGGACUUCAAGAAAAGGACCAAAAAUGUUUGCUUACAUUAAACAUGAAUCAAAACAGAUUAUGUUUGCAAACGAAUCACCGGUGGCGACAAAACAGAUUUUAUGUUUUGGUAGUAAAUCUACAAGUAAGUGAUGAUAGAUUUUCAAUUACACAUGUAAAUUUGAGAUGUGCAUUAGCAGAUAUCACUGAGGUAUCAGUUUCUGUGACCUUCAGGGUUAUUGCAAAUAAAAUUUAAAAUGGGCGUUAUAAUUUUAUUGCAUGCUUACUUAUAAUAAACAUUUAUGUAAGGUCCAUUUUAUGUAUGUUAUCUUAUUUGACAUUUCCGUAUUUUUGUAAAAAAUUGUAAGCGGGACCAGUUCAUUGAAUAGUUUGGAAUAUAAAAUAUGCAUGUUGAAACAUAAUAUGUGGUGGAAAAAAUAAUUCCAUUUAAAUUUCAUAGGUAGUAGACUUCAAAUAUGCUAUAAAUUACCCAUUUUUGCGAUUUCAAAUGUCAUUUUUGUUAUCAAAACUUACCUAAUACAUGGUUUAUUUUGCAAAACAAAUUAACCAAUAAACUACCGCAUGGAUAUUAAUUAUACUAACGAUGCAGUGGCAGACCAUUUUAAAAGUUAUUGUACCCAGACCAUUGGCGGUAUGAGUUAAUUCUUAUAUUUGAUAAAACAGACAAUUCUUUUAAUAGAAGUAAUAAUAUAUUACUUACUAUAUGUAAGAUUCGAAUCAAGUCUGCUAUAAUUGCUGAACAAGCAAGAGAAAGUAUAGAUGAAAAACAUCUUGCUUUUAAUUAUGAGUUAUACAUGAAGCAUGUGAAAAAGUUGCAUUAAUGUAUGCCAUCACGAGCACAAAGAACUAUCAAAUAAUAGCAUAUAAUAAAAAAGAAAGAACAACAACUUAAAAGAUCCUUUAAAGUAGUUUUUUACAAAAAAAGGUACAAAGACGAUACAUUGGAUUGCAACUCGCCUGCUAAUCAGUUGAUAUACAAUAGUAAAUUGUGUACAGAGACGAUCUCACUAUAGUAAAUGAUAACAAGGUAUGGUGUGAACAAUUUAACGUUUUAAACAUCAUUUUACAUGAUAACCAUCAGAUUAUUUGCCUAAAAGAUAACACGUUAACUUCAAGCAAAUCGUUAUCUUCUUGAAUUGUAAUUGAAAUAUCAAAUCGUUUACUGCUUCAACAACCCAGCCAAAGUCACAACGCCAUCAACUAGCGGUCAAUCUGACACAUCAUCAAAGAAGUCAUCACAAGAGUCCUCAACUACAGUAAUAGCGUCUGCAGUAACGGUUGCAGUUGUUCUAAGUUCAGCUCUUGUGAUCGUUAUUGUGCUCAGAAACAAAGGGAAAUUGUGCUUCGCCAUAACAAAAGGUUUACAAUUGGAAAACACAGAUGACAGCAACCGUAUAUCCUUAGCAAAGAUUGAAUCCAAAACAAAUGAGAACUCCCAAAGCCCAGAGGCAUAUUUGUACAAUAAGAAUACACGUGGUUGCACGAAGGACAUUGAUGAAUAUGCCGAUAUUGACAACGAUACUGCGAAUUUUAAGUGCAAUGAAACCGGUUUCUAUCAAACUCCAUGUGCCCCUAUGAUGAAUCAUACUUAUCAAGAGAUACACGCGAAUGACGAAUACGCCGGAAUUGAUGACGUUCGAGGGGACAACGACGAUUACGAUUACACUAACAAAGCAUUUAGGGAUGAAAAAGCUGAGUCUUCAGACAACGUUUACAGUCAUCUAAACUCUGGUGGUGACGAGUAUGAUCAUGUGCACAGAGGCCAAAACAUCGUCAAGGUGGUGGAACAUGACUAUGUCGAAAACUCCGGUGUCGUUAGAAACUAAGCAUUACAACGUACACGUUUGAUAAAGACAACUUCCUGCAUAAUUAUAAUAUAUUGUAGAUAAAGUCAAUAUGAUUUCAUAUUGUGUGAGUAAUGUGACGUUUCAAUCAUUUUUUAGAAGACUAAACAUAUUCUCUUUAGUAGUUGUGUAUCAACUUGUGUUUUGUAUUUGUUUGUGUUUUCAUUAUUUUAUUUCGCAGUCACAUUAACUUGCCAUAUUUUUUAUUUUACACUGAUUACUCAUUAUAACAUUUAUUCAUCUAAUAUGUCCAUAUGUCUUCUCAUUUCUGAGUAAGAAGUUUAAGUAAUAGCUAUAAUGUCAAAUAUUUCCGUUAUAGACAUUAUUUGUAACGAAUUAUAAAGUGGUAUAUAUUAUCAAUAUUAUCAAACAUGUUAGUUUAAAAGCCCUGUACGUAUGCGUUUAAUUAUAAUCGCUAACUUUACUCGUUUGUUGGGUUUUCACAUAUAAGGUGAACUCGUUAUUAUAACCAAAUGUAUCAUCUGGAUGUUUUGUUGUAACUUUAUAAACAAAUAAAUAAGUUAAGGAUU